GUGGGGAAUCUUGCGCAAUGGGCGAAAGCCUGACGCAGCCAUGCCGCGUGAAUGAUGAAGGUCUUAGGAUUGUAAAAUUCUUUCACCGGGGACGAUAAUGACGGUACCCGGAGAAGAAGCCCCGGCUAACUUCGUGCCAGCAGCCGCGGUAAUACGAAGGGGGCUAGCGUUGCUCGGAAUUACUGGGCGUAAAGGGCGUGUAGGCGGACAGUUUAGUCAGAGGUGAAAGCCCAGGGCUCAACCUUGGAAUUGCCUUUGAUACUGGCUGUCUUGAGUACGGGAGAGGUGAGUGGAACUCCGAGUGUAGAGGUGAAAUUCGUAGAUAUUCGGAAGAACACCAGUGGCGAAGGCGACUCACUGGCCCGUUACUGACGCUGAGGCGCGAAAGCGUGGGGAGCAAACAGGAUUAGAAACCCUUGUAGUCC
rnacentral:rRNA from 1 species